AACUUAUCCAGAGAGGCGAAGGGAUCUGGCCCUGUGAAGCCCGGCAACCUGCGUUUGGCAAGGUGCUAAAUCCAGCAAAAUGUAAACCCAUUUUGAAAGAUAAGGU
rnacentral:ncRNA from 2 species